rnacentral:misc_RNA from 1 species
GAUGAAGAACGCAGCGAAAUGCGAUAAGUAAUGUGAAUUGCAGAAUUCAGUGAAUCAUCGAAUCUUUGAACGCACCUUGCACCCUUUGGCAUUCCGAAGGGUAUGCUCGUUUGAGUGUCAUUGUACUCUCACUCUCCCGAUGCUUUUGGAUCGGGAGUGGUGGACUUGGGUGUUGCUGCUUUGCUGUGGCUCGCCUCAAAUGGAGUAGUGCAACUCUUGGUUGGACAUAGUACGGCGUGAUAAGUGUCUUCGCCGGCGCCUCAUUAUAGAGGGUGGCCGAUCGGGAGCUCUGUGCUUCAAACCGUCUUCGGACAACAUCUGACAACUUGACCUCAAAUCGAGUAGGACUACCCGCUGAACUUAAGCAUAUCAAUAACGGAGGA